UCUCAUCGUUUAUCAGAUCUCCUUCCUUUCUCUCCUUAAAGAAUGGCGAUAAACCUCAAAUUUGGUGAAAAUAUGCGCUCAAAUGCCUAUCCUUUCAAAUUCCGAUCAACAUAUUGCGAAAAUACUCAGAUCAAGAAAUAUAAGGUUAAUCUCUCGCCUUACCCUCUCUCAUCUUUUCUAAUUUAACUAAUUCAACUCAGAUUAAGGGUUUUAUGUAAAUUACGCGCAAGUUUUUUUUUCUGAUUGGAAUGGGUAUUUAGGAUUUAAUUUAGCGAUUAAUUGUUGAUUAACUAACUGAUUUUUUUGUUUGCAUUUUUUGGUUUGCAUGUCGUAUCAAUGUGGAGGGUAAGGUCGCUGGCGUGGCGGUGGAGAAGCGAUGGCGAGGCGAGGCGCGGGGCGAAGCGAUGGCGAGGCGCGGGGCGAGGCGAUGGCGAGGCGAGGCGAUGGACAAUGAGUCCCUCUAUUGGUUGGAGAGGAAGGUGCACAGAUGUUGGGCAAGACGCGUGAUGGGCGAUGGGCGAGGCGGGGAAGGCGAUGGGCGAGGCGACCGAGGCGCUGGUCAGGUUAUAAUUUGUUUAAAUUGGAGGAUUCAUACGAAAAGUGUACUUACAUGUGGGAGCGACUUCAAGAAGAAACAAUGGUGAUGUGGUUCUUUUGAGAACGGAUUUCUUCUGGGAAUCAGCGCGGUAGUAGAUUUGCAUUAAGGGAGAGGUUUCUUGUUUUAUGGUUUCUGGAAUUUUUCUUCUGAUUUCUGGUUUAGGAUCUGGUUUAUGGAGGUUUUUUGUUUUCAGGGCUUCUGCAGUUAAUUAGAAAAAUUUAUUCUUUUAGAUUUGUAAUAUUUUUCGUUUCAUUUGGUAACUGCAAUAAGUGUAAUAUUUUAUUUUCCUUAUCUGUUUUUCGUUUCAUUUGGUAACUGCAGUAGUUGUAAUAUUUUAUUUUCCUUAUUUUCAUUUAUUUCCUGAUUUAAUCAAUCAAUCAACAUCAGCUUUGGUAAUUGAGAUAAAAAGGAUUGAUUUUGGGCGUCACUUAAGGUCUGGGGUGCAAUUAAACUGUAGAACUGCGUUGGGGUAUUUUAGUCUUUUAACUGGGGGACACGAAAAGCC